GAGUUUGAUCCUGGCUCAGGACGAACGCUGGCGGCGCGCCUAACACAUGCAAGUCGAACGGAGUCAAGAGGAGCUUGCUUUUCUUGACUUAGUGGCGAACGGGUGAGUAACGCGUGAGUAACCUGCCCUAGAGUGGGGGACAACAGUUGGAAACGACUGCUAAUACCGCAUAAGCCCACGGUACCGCAUGAUACUGAGGGAAAAGGAUUUAUUCGCUUUAGGAUGGACUCGCGUCCAAUUAGCUAGUUGGUGAGGUAACGGCCCACCAAGGCGACGAUUGGUAGCCGGACUGAGGGGUUGAACGGCCACAUUGGGACUGAGACACGGCCCAGACUCCUACGGGAGGCAGCAGUGGGGAAUAUUGCACAAUGGGCGCAAGCCUGAUGCAGCAACGCCGCGUGAAGGAAGACGGUUUUCGGAUUGUAAACUUCUGUUCUUAGUGAAGAAUAAUGACGGUAGCUAAGGAGCAAGCCACGGCUAACUACGUGCCAGCCGCCGCGGUAAUAC
rnacentral:rRNA from 1 species